AUGAACGGUCAUAUCACGUAAACUGCACCCGGUCUCGUCCGAUCCCGGAAGUUAAGCUGCGUCGAGUCCAGCCAGUAGUACGGUGCGUGAGCACGUGCGAAGCCUGGGUACUGUUCGU
rnacentral:rRNA from 1 species